rnacentral:rRNA from 1 species
GCAAGUCGAGCGCGCCCUUCGGGGUGAGCGGCGGACGGGUGAGUAACGCGUAAGAAUCUACCUAGUAGUGGGGGACAACCCGGGGAAACUCGAGCUAAUACCGCAUACGCCCUACGGGGGAAAGCGGGGGACCUUCGGGCCUCGUGCUAUUAGAUGAGCUUGCGUUGGAUUAGCUUGUUGGUGGGGUAAUGGCCCACCAAGGCGACGAUCCAUAGCUGGUCUGAGAGGAUGAUC